CCUCAUACAAUAGACGGGAGGUACUGUGGUGGUGAGACAGUGAGACAGUAAUUUAGCCCAGUAGUAGUUUAGAAUGAGUGACUGGAAGAGACACACCGACACAUAUAGCCAGCGCAAAUUCUAUUAGAUACAUUUUCUCUGACCGGUCAUUGCGGUUUUAAAUAUACCUCUUCAAUCAACUGCGAAGACUGGGCCAGUUGAUUUAUUUUUUCUCCUCUCUAAACUAAGAUUGGGCAUGACCAUGGGGGCCAGGCUGUGGGUGUAGCCACUGAGACAGCUGGGGGAGAGCGAGAGAGGAGGAAAGGCAAACUAGCACCAGCCAAGCACCCUGCACUCCUCCUGGGAAAGAUGGGGGAGACAGAGGAGGAGAAGGACCAGGCAGGGAAGCUGUUUGAGAACUUCAUCCAGGCCUCCACCUGUAAGGGCACCCUGCAGUCCUUCAACCUCCUGUGCAGGCUGCUGGAUCUAGACCCUCAGGACCAUGAGACAUUCUACUGUAGUCUGAAGACCAGGCUCACCUCCUGGAGGGCCAAAGCCCUCUGGACCAAGCUGGACAAGAGAACCUGCCACAAGGAGUACAAGAAGGGCCAGGCCUGUGUGGGCACCAAGUGCCUUAUCAUCGGGGGAGGCCCAUGUGGCUUGCGGACGGCCAUCGAGCUGGCUCUGCUGGGGGCCAAGGUGGUGGUGAUUGAGAAGAGGGACACCUUCUCCAGGAACAACGUGCUGCACCUGUGGCCCUACACCAUCCACGACCUCAAGGGCCUCGGGGCUAAGAAGUUCUACGGCAAAUUCUGUGCUGGAGCCAUAGACCACAUCAGUAUUCGUCAACUCCAGCUCAUGCUGCUGAAGAUCGCCCUGCUUACAGCUGUGGAAUUCCACGUCAAUGUGGAGUUUGUCAAGCUGCUGGAACCUCCAGAAAACCAGGAGAAUGACGGGCCUGGCUGGAGAGCUGAGAUCAGGCCUGCCGAUCACCCCGUGGCUAAUAUUGACUUUGACGUGGUGGUGGGGGCUGAUGGGAGGAGAAAUACCCUGGAAGGGUUCAAGAGGAAGGAGUUCCGUGGUAAGCUGGCCAUCGCCAUCACGGCCAACUUUGUCAACAGGAACACCACGGCCGAGGCCAAGGUGGAGGAGAUCAGCGGUGUGGCCUUCAUCUUCAACCAGAAGUUCUUCCUGGACCUCAAAGAGGAGACAGGUAUUGACCUGGAGAACAUUGUGUACUACAAGGACAACACACACUACUUUGUCAUGACAGCAAAAAAGCAGAGCCUACUGGACAAGGGGGUCAUCAUUCAUGACUACAUAGACACAGAGAUGCUGCUGAGCAGUGAGAAUGUGAACCAGGAAGCUCUGCUGGGUUAUGCCCGCGAAGCUGCUGACUUUGGCACCAACUACCAGCUUCCCACGCUGGACUUUGCCAUAAAUGCCUGUGGCCAGCCAGACGUGGCCAUGUUUGACUUCACCAGCAUGUAUGCUUCGGAGAACGCAGCGCUAGUCAGAGAAUGCUUCGGACGCCAGCUACUGGUGGCACUGGUUGGGGACAGCUUGUUAGAGCCGUUCUGGCCCAUGGGUACAGGGUGUGCGAGAGGCUUCCUGGCUGCUUUUGACUCAGCCUGGAUGGUGAAAAGGUGGGCUGAGGGCAUGACCCCUCUGGAGGUGCUAGCUGAGAGGGAGAGUCUUUACAGAAUUCUGCCGCAGACAACCACUGAAAACAUUGCCAAAAACUUUGAGCAGUACACCAUUGACCCUGGGACUCGGUAUCCCAACCUCAUCUCUACCUGUGUCAGGCAAAACCAGGUGCGUCACCUGUACAUCAAUGGAGAGCUGCCAGUGAAGUCGUGCUCUCUGGAGCGUAAUGCUACAAUACGUCGCCCUGUGAACCUGGCCAGACGAGAGUCGGAGAUCAGGCCGGGCAGGCUGCUGACGUGGUGUCAGAAACAGACCGAGGGCUACAGGAACGUGAGCGUGACAGACCUGACCACCUCGUGGCAGAGUGGCCUGGCUCUCUGUGCCCUCAUCCACCGCUUCAGAUCCCACCUCAUAGAGUUUGAUUCGCUGAAUGAGGAGGAUUCGGCUAACAACUUCCAGCUGGCAUGUGACCUGGCUGAGCGGGAGUUUGGGAUCCGGCCCUUCACCACUGGGGAGGAGAUGGCUGCUGGUCAGGAACCAGACAAGACCAGAAUGGUCACCUACCUCUCCAAGUUCUACGAGCUGUUCCGCGGCACCCCCCUCCCCGUCUCAGAUUCUAGAGGGGCCGACGAAAACAGUGAAGACUAUCCUUCCAAGGCAGUCAGAAGUAUGAACAAAGUUCUGGUACCAAGAAAAAGGGUACCGAAGGAUGAGAAGAAGCUAGAAGAUACUGACCCAACGUACAAAAGGAGACGAAAAGUCUGCAGUUAUUUGGAAGAGGCAACCAACUUCUCCAGUCAGAGUGCGUCCUGUGUGGGUGAGGGGAGGGAGGUGAAGGAGAACAAGGUCCGCUCCAUGGCCAGCCAGCUCCUGUCCAAGUUUGAGGAGAGCAACCCCAGCUUCACCCUCCGGAGACAGUCUCCGUGUGAUUGGGGUUCUGAGAGGGCCCCUCGGCCACGCUCCAUGGACAUGACUGAGACCCCACGCUUCACCAACCUCAGGCAGCAGACCCCACCCAACCCUCCCCCCAAGACACAGGUAGAGGACUGGAGCAGGCCUGGUCAACAUACUGUAAUACACACGCAUACCCACGCUAAUACACUCUGCAGAACACACACUGUCACUCAGUUUUGAUAUACACUCACUCACAAACCAGUCAUCACCUACCUGGAGUGAGAGUGUUAAAUGCUCCCUGUGGGUUGGAAAUGAAAAAUAGAUUCACAUGAUAAAGGAAAGCAUGGGGCAUAAAUCUCCCUUCUAUUCUCUCCAGCUGUUAAACUACUGGAGCCUGUUUGCUGCAAUUGUUUUUUCAUCAAGCUCACCCUGAGUUGACAGAGAGCCAUAUAACUGCAGCUCACAUGUGCUGUGUGUUUCCAGUUUCAUUCUGCAACCUGUGCCAAAUAUGCAGCUGAGUGCAUCGCUCGGCUACCACCCCAGCCUCCUCCUUAACCCAAGCUCUCGCCACAGCUCCAAGCCCAGCUUCAGUCUCAGCACCAGCCCCAACCCCAGUUCCAGCUCCAACCCAAGCUCCAACCCCCACCCAGCCCAAAUCACACCCUCAGGAAGGUCAGACAGGCUGAUCAGACACGUACUCAGACGCAACCCCAGAUGCAUCCUCAAAAGCCAGAGAGCAUAGAUUACCCUGGCUACUCUCCCUCCUGCCACUCAGCGGUCCUAGCCAUGUCUAGAAUGCUCCAACGCCUUCAGGAGGUGGAGGAAAAGAUCACCAAGAAGAAAGCUCAGGCCCAGAAUGCUAGAGAGUUUCACAAUAAAAGUAUCAAGGAGAAAGCGGUCCACCUGAGAGCACUGUUCUCUGAGGAUGUGACCUCUACGUCCCAGGUGACUAUCUGACCCCUGAACUCUGACCCCUCACCUCUCCCGUCCCUCAGUGUGUUUGUCGUGUUGCACGCUCGGUCUUGUUUGGCAUCACUGCUGCUGCACAGAGUUCAUAAAUCCUCCCUGUGUUGAAAUUCAACAUCCAUCAUCUUCAGAAGCAUGACUUUUAUGGCAAUGUUUUCAUUAGCUGCUCAGAUCUGUAGCAACAGAACACAGCUAGCGCAGGUAAUUUCAGGUUAUUGUAGGACACAGUGUUCUGUUAUACAGAUGUCGAAUCUUAAUUUGAUCCAACUCGUUAAAACAGGAAAAUAAUCCUGCAGCAACAGGAAAUUUGAAUUAUUAUGUGACUUAUAAUUAAUGGACAUUUUUUGUAGGUGUUUUUGUCAGUAUCACUGUGUGUCAUGCUAAAACAUUUGUGAUCAUUCAACAUUUAUAAUUUUCCAUUAGGGCAAAGAAAGUCAGACAUUUUAAAGUGGAAAUUACAAACCUUCGAAAUCUUUUUAAACCUUGAAUACGCUGCGCAGGAAAAUUGUCAGCGACAAAAUAGUGAUCAAAUUAAGAUCCUACAUCUGAAAUUUAAAUCACCUUCACUGUCAGUCAAUAAAUGACUGUUUACGCCGAGGGUUUCAACAAGGCUUUUUUAAAACAAUGUAACGCCCUGUGAAAACACAUCAGGCAAUUCUUUGUUCAAACAGAAAUCCUUCCAUUAAAUGGUUUCUUCUUGUUCCAUUAUGUGAUUCUAUAUUCCCACUGAGACAGACCUGCAGAAGAGAGCUCAGGCUGAAAACUAGGUAGCCUCCUCUCUCAGCUCUGUCUGUGAUGAUAUGUAUGAACAGCACUGGUAAUUCACUUACUCGGUGUGCUCAGCACUGUUGAAAGGUAGCACAGGCUUCUCUGUGCCUCACUGGAAGAGGCUGCAGCUUUAUUACUCACAGGAUCGUCAUCAAGCAAGGUGUUUAGUGCUAGAUUAGUCAUCAUACUGCAAUUUCCAUUACAAGAAAAGGUAUUUCCUUGGUAUUUUAUCAUCAAAAAAGAUACUGCUCACCUUCUUUAAAUGAGUUUCCAUCUCAGUGGAAACCAGGGUAAGCUGGAGGAGGUUGGAGUUUAGGUAAAACUAUGAUUUGAUAGUGCCACGGAAUACCUUUGCUUAAAGCCUAUCCCCCUGUGCACGCCAGUUCUCAUUGUAACUUCUAUCAAAUUACUAACACUCAAAGCUCUCCUUUAACAAUCCUCUCCCUCUCUUUUCAUUUGCAAAUCUCCCCUGUCCCAUUCCUCACCUAGUCUGAUUCUGAAAAACAGGCCAUUCCCUCAGUGUCUGAUCCCAUCCUCCCUAACCCCAGUCCAGAAGUCACCUCAUUACACCUUUACCCAGAUAUCACCCUUUCUGCCUUCUCACCUCCUCAUCCCUAUUCCUCAUCCUCAUCCUGUCUACUACAACCUCAGGUAAAAAAUAACCACAUCCAUGUCUGUCUCACUGUCUUGUAUGUGUCCCUAUCACUGUGUGUCAUACUACAACCUUUGUGAUCAUUUAACAUUUAUCAUGAAGAAAUACACAUUUUAUCUAUAUCACUCUGAGUUUCCAUUUCAAUGGAAUGCAGUAUCAUGGAUUACCAGGCACUUUAGGCUUGAGGCCCAAACCACUAAGCAUGCAAACUCUAAUUUAACUCCCAUCUGAUGCUCAUAAUAUCUUCCUCUCUUUGACUUUCCCAUUCCCACACUAGUUUUGAUCUGCUGGACAGAGUCAAACCAUUCCCUCACCUCACAUCCACCCUGCUCCCCGUCCUAAAAUCUCUUCAUCACUACUUUGUCCAGAAAUCACCCUUUCUACACCCCCCCCCCCCCUCAUACCAAUUCUCCAUCCUCCUCUUCCUCCUCUUCCUGUCUACUUCAACAUCAGGUAUAAAUAACCACAUCCAUGUCUGUGUUUCAGCAUGUCAAAUCCAAUCAAAUCAAAUUGUAUUUGUCACAUGCGCCGAUUACAACAGGUACAGUGAAAUGCUUACUGUGUCCCCAUCGUUGUGUGUCAUGCUAAAACCUUUGUGGUCAUUCAAUAUUCAUCAUGCAGAGAUAUUGCACAUCUUUAAUUUAUAGCACUAAAACUGAGUUGACGUCAAAAUGGAAUGUAGUGUUCUUGAAUUGAGACUAAUCAGGUUGGGGCUUGGUCAAUAGGACGGUAGAGUGCCAUGGAAUACCAGGUACUGUAGGCCAUCAAACUGAGCAUGCCAAAUGUCAUUUAACCUAUCUGAUUCUCAAGUCUCUCUUUUAACAAUCCUCUCCCUCUUUGACUUUCCAUUCCUCUGUUUCCCAUUCCCACCCUAGCCUGGAUCUGCUGAACAGACCAUUCCCUCUCCUCCCAUACUCCCUGCUCCCACUCCUAAAGUCACUUCCCUCCUUUGUCCAGAAAUCACCCUUUCUAUCUUCACACUCUCUCAAACCGUGUCUUCACCCUCAUCCAUUCUACUCCAACUCAAGGUGAAAACAAGCACAUCCAUUUCUCACCAUCUGUCUGUCAUGCUUGUCAUGUCGUGCUUCUACACCUGCAUUCUAGCUGUUUGGGGUUUUAGGCUGGGUUUCUGUACAGCACUUCGAGAUAUUAUCUGAUGUACGAAGGGCUAUAUAAAAUAAAAUUGAUUGAUUGAUUGAUUGAUGAUGAAACCCAUAUCCCCUAAUGGCAGAGCAAACAUUAUACUGUUAUUUUGAUGCACUCAUCUAUCCCUUAUCUGUCACUGAACUGUUCAACUAAGUUUUCUUCUCUGUUGCCUCUAAUUCCUUCAUUCUUCAUGGAAAACCAAAGACCAGUCAAUCUGGGGCACUAGAUAUGCAGCUUUGUAUGAAAGAAAUGCAAAGAGAUCCCUUGAAUGAGUCACAUGUGGUGAGUGACUCUUGUGUGCCUCCAAACCAUAGCACUAUUUAUGGCCACAUCAUUUCUAUAUGCAGAGCCUGCUGCUUCUUAGAGAAACCCCAAAUGAUGUGCUGUCUGUUUGAUUUUAAACAUGAUGUCAUCUGGAUAAUUUUAUAUAUUUUAGAAGUAUAUAUUUGUUUAACUUCUAGUCUAAUUUGCAUGUAACUUACAGCUGUAGUUAUUAUCAUCACAGUCAUGUUGCUGUUUCAGUGUCACAGCAGUGGCUCCACAUAUGUAUCCCAACAACAACGCACUGCAAUACUACAACCAAAGCUGUUUUUAAUAACGUCAAACAGGUAUUUUGCCCCCAGUGCCACAUGCCUGCUAAAGUAACUUGUACUACCCUCUAAAUUACAAAGGACACAUGUAGACACAAAGGUCUUGCAUGCAAGAAGCAUGUGAGGUGUUUUUUAGCUACUCUGGGGCCUCUCAUGCUAAGGUUGAAUACAUUUUUGUGGUGUUGCACUUUGUGAGUUAGACUGCCCCUCCCUGUUCCCAGAUUUCUGAUCAGUUUGAGUCAGCGCCGUGCAGUCAGUCUAGAGUACAAUCUGAAGCAUCCAGACAGGCUCACUAGUUAACCAUAAUGAGAAAACAUUCAUGAAAAUCCUCACCUCUUCCCUCCUCUCUUAUUUUGAUGAAAGAACUUGACUAUUUUCCCCAACAGCGGCCUUAGUCAGAGAACAAAGUAGUCAAAUCAUCUAUCUGUCUAUCUGUCCUAACUUCCUCCAGUCUUUUCCUCCUUGCUGCGUGUCAGCGGACGGUGGG